rnacentral:rRNA from 1 species
CUAAGUACCCCGAGGAAAAGAAAUCAACCGAGAUUCCCCCAGUAGCGGCGAGCGAACGGGGAGCAGCCCAGAGUCUGAAUCAGCUUGUGUGUUAGUGGAACGGUCUGGAAAGUCCGACGGUACAGGGUGAUAGUCCCGUACACCAAAAUGCACAGGYUGUGAACUCGAAGAGUAGGGCGGGACACGUGGUAUCCUGUCUGAAUAUGGGGGGACCAUCCUCCAAGGCUAAAUACUCCUGACUGACCGAUAGUGAACCAGUACCGUGAGGGAAAGGCGAAAAGAACCCCGGCGAGGGGAGUGAAAAAGAACCUGAAACCGUGUACGUACAAGCAGUGGGAGCACCUUCGGGUGUGACUGCGUACCUUUUGUAUAAUGGGUCAGCGACUUAUAUUCUGUAGCAAGGUUAACCGUAUAGGGGAGCCGCAGGGAAACCGAGUCUUAACUGGGCGUUAAGUUGCAGGGUAUAGACCCGAAACCCGGUGAUCUAGCCAUGGGCAGGUUGAAGGUUGGGUAACACUAACUGGAGGACCGAACCGACUAAUGUUGAAAAAUUAGCGGAUGACUUGUGGCUGGGGGUGAAAGGCCAAUCAAACCGGGAGAUAGCUGGUUCUCCCCGAAAGCUAUUUAGGUAGCGCCUCGUGAAYUCAUCUUCGGGGGUAGAGCACUGUUUCGGCUAGGGGGUCAUCCCGACUUACCAACCCGAUGCAAACUACGAAUACCGAAGAAUGUUAUCACGGGAGACACACGGCGGGUGCUAACGUCCGUCGUGAAGAGGGAAACAACCCAGACCGCCAGCUAAGGUCCCAAAGUCAUGGUUAAGUGGGAAACGAUGUGGGAAGGCACAGACAGCCAGGAUGUUGGCUUAGAAGCAGCCAUCAUUUAAAGAAAGCGUAAUAGCUCACUGGUCGAGUCGGCCUGCGCGGAAGAUGUAACGGGGCUAAACCAUGCACCGAAGCUGCGGCAGCGACACUAUGUGUUGUUGGGUAGGGGAGCGUUCUGUAAGCCUGCGAAGGUGWSCUGUGAGGSWUGCUGGAGGUAUCAGAAGUGCGAAUGCUGACAUAAGUAACGAUAAAGCGGGUGAAAAGCCCGCUCGCCGGAAGACCAAGGGUUCCUGUCCAACGUUAAUCGGGGCAGGGUGAGUCGACCCCUAAGGCGAGGCCGAAAGGCGUAGUCGAUGGGAAACAGGUUAAUAUUCCUGUACUUGGUGUUACUGCGAAGGGGGGACGGAGAAGGCUAUGUUAGCCGGGCGACGGUUGUCCCGGUUUAAGCAUGUAGGCUGGUURUCCAGGCAAAUCCGGAUAAUCAAGGCUGAGGUGUGAUGACGAGGCACUACGGUGCUGAAGUAACAAAUGCCCUGCUUCCAGGAAAAGCCUCUAAGCAUCAGGUAACAUYAAAUCGUACCCCAAACCGACACAGGUGGUCAGGUAGAGAAUACCAAGGCGCUUGAGAGAACUCGGGUGAAGGAACUAGGCAAAAUGGUGCCGUAACUUCGGGAGAAGGCACGCUGGUGUGUAGGUGAAGYCCCUGCGGRUGGAGCUGAGACCAGUCGAAGAUACCAGCUGGCUGCAACUGUUUAUUAAAAACACAGCACUGUGCAAACACGAAAGUGGACGUAUACGGUGUGACGCCUGCCCGGUGCCGGAAGGUUAAUUGAUGGGGUUAUCCGUAAGGAGAAGCUCUUGAUCGAAGCCCCGGUAAACGGCGGCCGUAACUAUAACGGUCCUAAGGUAGCGAAAUUCCUUGUCGGGUAAGUUCCGACCUGCACGAAUGGCGUAAUGAUGGCCAGGCUGUCUCCACCCGAGACUCAGUGAAAUUGAACUCGCUGUGAAGAUGCAGUGUACCCGCGGCAAGACGGAAAGACCCCGUGAACCUUUACUAUAGCUUGACACUGAACAUUGAGCCUUGAUGUGUAGGAUAGGUGGGAGGCUUUGAAGCGUGGACGCCAGUCUGCGUGGAGCCAACCUUGAAAUACCACCCUUUAAUGUUUGAUGUUCUAACGUUGGCCCCUKAYCGGGGUUGCGGACAGUGUCUGGUGGGUAGUUUGACUGGGGCGGUCUCCUCCCAAAGCGUAACGGAGGAGCACGAAGGUUAGCUAAUCCUGGUCGGACAUCAGGAGGUUAGUGCAAUGGCAUAAGCUAGCUUGACUGCGAGCGUGACGGCGCGAGCAGGUGCGAAAGCAGGUCAUAGUGAUCCGGUGGUUCUGAAUGGAAGGGCCAUCGCUCAACGGAUAAAAGGUACUCCGGGGAUAACAGGCUGAUACCGCCCAAGAGUUCAUAUCGACGGCGGUGUUUGGCACCUCGAUGUCGGCUCAUCACAUCCUGGGGCUGAAGUAGGUCCCAAGGGUAUGGCUGUUCGCCAUUUAAAGUGGUACGCGAGCUGGGUUUAGAACGUCGUGAGACAGUUCGGUCCCUAUCUGCCGUGGGCGCUGGAGAAUUGAGGGGGGCUGCUCCUAGUACGAGAGGACCGGAGUGGACGCAUCACUGGUGUUCGGGUUGUCAUGCCAAUGGCACUGCCCGGUAGCUAAAUGCGGAAGAGAUAAGUGCUGAAAGC